rnacentral:rRNA from 1 species
GUCUAUGGCCAUGCUACCCUGAACAAGCCCGAUCCCAUCUGAUCUCAGAAGCUAAGCAGGGUCGGGCCUGGUUAGUACUUGGAGGGGAGACCACCUAGGAAGACUAGGUGCUGUAGGUG